rnacentral:rRNA from 1 species
UACGUAGGCAGCAAGCGUUGUUCGGAGUUACUGGGCGUAAAGGGUGUGUAGGCGGUUCUUUAAGUUUGGUGGGAAAUCUCCCGGCUCAACUGGGAGGGUGCGCCGAAUACUGAGGGACUAGAGUACGGGAGAGGAAAGUGGAAUUCCUGGUGUAGCGGUGAAAUGCGUAGAUAUCUGGAGGAAUACCGGUGGCGAAGGCGGCAUCCUGGACCAUUACUGACGCUGAGGCGCGAAAGCUAGGGGAGCAAACGGG